GACGAACGCUGGCGGCGUGCUUAACACAUGCAAGUCGAGCGGACCUUCGGGUCAGCGGCGAACGGGUUAGUAACACGUGGGCAACCUGCCCCAGGCUCUGGAAUAACUCCGGGAAACCGGGGCUAAUGCCGGAUAUUCACAUCUUCGGGCAUCUGGUGGUGUGUAAAGAUUUAUCGGUCUGGGAUGGGCCCGCGGCCUAUCAGCUUGUUGGUGGGGUGACGGCCUACCAAGGCGACGACGGGUAGCCGGCCUGAGAGGGCGAUCGGCCACACUGGGACUGAGACACGGCCCAGACUCCUACGGGAGGCAGCAGUGGGGAAUAUUGCGCAAUGGGCGAAAGCCUGACGCAGCGACGCCGCGUGAGGGAUGACGGCC
rnacentral:rRNA from 1 species